AGAGUUUGAUCAUGGCUCAGGACGAACGCUGGCGGCGCGCCUAAAACAUGCAAGUCGAGCGAGAACCGGGGCUUCGGCUCCGGGGAGAGCGGCGAACGGGUGCGUAACACGUGAGCAACCUGCCCCGAAGACCGGGACAACACCGGGAAACCGGUGCUAAUACCGGAUGUCCUCACCGGAUCGCAUGGUCUGGUGAGGAAAUGGAUUCCGCUUUGGGAUGGGCUCGCGGUCUAUCAGCUUGUUGGUGGGGUAACGGCCUACCAAGGCGACGACGGAUAGCUGGUCUGAGAGGACGAUCAGCCACACUGGGACUGAGACACGGCCCAGACUCCUACGGGAGGCAGCAGUUAGGAAUCUUGCGCAAUGGGGGAAACCCUGACGCAGCGACGCCGCGUGCGGGAUGAAGGCCUUCGGGUUGUAAACCGCUUUCAGGAGGGACGAAAUUGACGGUACCUCCAGAAGAAGGCCCGGCCAACUACGUGCCAGCAGCCGCGGUA
rnacentral:rRNA from 1 species